AUGAACGCUGGCGGCGUGCCUAAUACCUGCAAGUCGAGCGAACAGAUGAGGAGCUUGCUCCUCUGACGUUAGCGGCGGACGGGUGAGUAACACGUGGAUAACCUACCUAUAAGACUGGGAUAACUUCGGGAAACCGGAGCUAAUACCGGAUAAUAUAUUGAACCGCAUGGUUCAAUAGUGAAAGACGGUUUUGCUGUCACUUAUAGAUGGAUCCGCGCCGCAUUAGCUAGUUGGUAAGGUAACGGCUUACCAAGGCGACGAUGCGUAGCCGACCUGAGAGGGUGAUCGGCCACACUGGAACUGAGACACGGUCCAGACUCCUACGGGAGGCAGCAGUAGGGAAUCUUCCGCAAAGGGCGAAAGCCUGACGGAGCAACGCCGCGUGAGUGAUGAAGGUCUUCGGAUCGUAAAACUCUGUUAUUAGGGAAGAACAAAUGUGUAAGUAACUAUGCACGUCUUGACGGUACCUAAUCAGAAAGCCACGGCUAACUACGUG
rnacentral:rRNA from 1 species